rnacentral:rRNA from 2 species
GCGGGGGGUGCUAUACAUGCAGUCGAGCGGACAGAAGGGAGCUUGCUCCCGGAUGUUAGCGGCGGACGGGUGAGUAACACGUGGGUAACCUGCCUGUAAGACUGGGAUAACUCCGGGAAACCGGAGCUAAUACCGGAUAGUUCCUUGAACCGCAUGGUUCAAGGAUGAAAGACGGUUUCGGCUGUCACUUACAGAUGGACCCGCGGCGCAUUAGCUAGUUGGUGAGGUAACGGCUCACCAAGGCGACGAUGCGUAGCCGACCUGAGAGGGUGAUCGGCCACACUGGGACUGAGACACGGCCCAGACUCCUACGGGAGGCAGCAGUAGGGAAUCUUCCGCAAUGGACGAAAGUCUGACGGAGCAACGCCGCGUGAGUGAUGAAGGUUUUCGGAUCGUAAAGCUCUGUUGUUAGGGAAGAACAAGUGCAAGAGUAACUGCUUGCACCUUGACGGUACCUAACCAGAAAGCCACGGCUAACUACGUGCCAGCAGCCGCGGUAAUACGUAGGUGGCAAGCGUUGUCCGGAAUUAUUGGGCGUAAAGGGCUCGCAGGCGGUUUCUUAAGUCUGAUGUGAAAGCCCCCGGCUCAACCGGGGAGGGUCAUUGGAAACUGGGAAACUUGAGUGCAGAAGAGGAGAGUGGAAUUCCACGUGUAGCGGUGAAAUGCGUAGAGAUGUGGAGGAACACCAGUGGCGAAGGCGACUCUCUGGUCUGUAACUGACGCUGAGGAGCGAAAGCGUGGGGAGCGAACAGGAUUAGAUACCCUGGUAGUCCACGCCGUAAACGAUGAGUGCUAAGUGUUAGGGGGUUUCCGCCCCUUAGUGCUGCAGCUAACGCAUUAAGCACUCCGCCUGGGGAGUACGGUCGCAAGACUGAAACUCAAAGGAAUUGACGGGGGCCCGCACAAGCGGUGGAGCAUGUGGUUUAAUUCGAAGCAACGCGAAGAACCUUACCAGGUCUUGACAUCCUCUGACAACCCUAGAGAUAGGGCUUUCCCUUCGGGGACAGAGUGACAGGUGGUGCAUGGUUGUCGUCAGCUCGUGUCGUGAGAUGUUGGGUUAAGUCCCGCAACGAGCGCAACCCUUGAUCUUAGUUGCCAGCAUUCAGUUGGGCACUCUAAGGUGACUGCCGGUGACAAACCGGAGGAAGGUGGGGAUGACGUCAAAUCAUCAUGCCCUC